CCUACGGGUGGCAGCAGUGAGGAAUAUUGGUCAAUGGACGAGAGUCUGAACCAGCCAAGUAGCGUGAAGGAUGACUGCCCUAUGGGUUGUAAACUUCUUUUAUAUGGGAAUAAAACGUUCCACGUGUGGGAUUUUGUAUGUACCAUAUGAAUAAGGAUCGGCUAACUCCGUGCCAGCAGCCGCGGUAAUACGGAGGAUCCGAGCGUUAUCCGGAUUUAUUGGGUUUAAAGGGGGCGUAGGUGGAUUGUUAAGUCAGUUGUGAAAGUUUGCGGCUCAACCGUAGAAUUGCAGUUGAAACUGGCAGUCUUGAGUACAGUAGAGGUGGGCGGAAUUCGUGGUGUAGCGGUGAAAUGCUGAGAUAUCACGAAGAACUCCGAUUGCGAAGGCAGUUCACUGGACUGCAACUGACACUGAGGCUCGAAAGUGUGGGUAUCAAACAGGAUUAGAUACCCGAGUAGUC
rnacentral:rRNA from 1 species